rnacentral:rRNA from 1 species
AGAGUUUGAUCCUGGCUCAGAUUGAACGCUGGCGGCAUGCCUUACACAUGCAAGUCGAACGGCAGCACGGGAGCAAUCCUGGUGGCGAGUGGCGAACGGGUGAGUAAUGUAUCGGAACGUACCCUUCAGUGGGGGAUAACGUAGCGAAAGUUACGCUAAUACCGCAUAUUCUGUGAGCAGGAAAGCAGGGGAUCGCAAGACCUUGCGCUGAUUGAGCGGCCGAUAUCAGAUUAGCUAGUUGGUGAGGUAAAGGCUCACCAAGGCGACGAUCUGUAGCGGGUCUGAGAGGAUGAUCCGCCACACUGGAACUGAGACACGGUCCAGACUCCUACGGGAGGCAGCAGUGGGGAAUUUUGGACAAUGGGCGCAAGCCUGAUCCAGCCAUGCCGCGUGAGUGAAGAAGGCCUUCGGGUUGUAAAGCUCUUUCAGCCGGGAAGAAAACGCAUGGGUUAAUACCCUGUGUGGAUGACGGUACCGGAAUAAGAAGCACCGGCUAACUCCGUGCCAGCAGCCGCGGUAAUACGGGGGGUGCAAGCGUUGUUCGGAAUUAUUGGGCGUAAAGAGCGUGUAGGCGGCCUGAUGUGUCAGAUGUGAAAGCCCUGGGCUUAACCCAGGAAGUGCAUUUGAAACUGUCAGGCUCGAGUAGGGGAGAGGGAAGUGGAAUUCCUGGUGUAGAGGUGAAAUUCGUAGAUAUCAGGAGGAACACCGGUGGCGAAGGCGACUUCCUGGCCCUAUACUGACGCUGAGACGCGAGAGCGUGGGUAGCAAACAGGAUUAGAUACCCUGGUAGUCC